UCCAAUUUUUCUCAUCAGCUCGUACGGGCCAUGCUUGGGUUCCAUAGUUGGCGAACUGUUCUCCCUUUGUUUUAUCGUACUAUUUGCAAACCUCACCGUAAUCCUCGGGUUUAUUCGCCAAUGACCGGAUUGCCUUGUGUCCGCAUCGUGGUGGAUUUGAAUCCUAUUACUCCAAAUUCAGUUUAAACCAGUAUUCUGCUCGGUAGACGUGACCAAGAGGUGAUGAAGUCACGGAUACAUUGUCAGCCCCCAAUCCGGAACGUGUGCAGGCAGAUGAAUUCAAGAGAUAGAGACAGAGAGAAGUGAUGAAAUUGCGUUUCGUGAACACGUGGUUUUGAAAAGGACACAACUUCAUUCGAGAGGAGUUGGAUAUUUAAUGAGCCUUGCGACAGCAGUAGGUCACGUGCAGGGACCCGAAGACGGUGUAUUACAGAAACUCCACUGCUGAACAACGCUAUGUUGUGAGCUAAGGAUCCAACGGGGUUAUCAUCGAGGCAGAAGCGUUAGCUGAACAUUACGAUGCGGUGUUAGGUGGGAACUUUCACUUCAUUGCUGCUGCCAAGCAGUCUCGGGAGAAUGAACAUACUUGGGAGAAACCAUGGUGGAAUCCUGUGAGAAAGCUCGGCGUCAGUCUGUCCCAUCCGAGGUGCUUCGGCGAAAGAAGCUCGGGGACCAUAUAAGGAGCGUGGAUUUGAGGCUCUUGUUUAGAGACAAUUGGCAGCUACAGCGACGAUUUCUUUCAACCUUAUGAAUGACGAAAUCGUGAAUGUGGGUUGUCGGAACACGAGUCUGGAGAAAGAAUGAUGUGCAUCAGCCAUAGACGACAAGCACCUAGUAUCUUCGGGGAUUUGGAUCGGUGACGCCGAGCUCUGCAAGUGGAUGACGCCGGCGUGGUGAUGGCGUCGUGAAAACUCACUCAAACGAGUGAAAGAAGGUGGCUGUUGUUGUCUUGUAUAGAAAGCUUGGGAGUUCUGUCCUCAAUAAAAAUAAAAAAUAAAUAAAAAAAAUGUAUGAGUUGUACGUGUCCGCUUUAUCUUA